rnacentral:rRNA from 1 species
CAGUCGCCACGGGAAUACGUAGGUGGCAAGCGUUGUCCGGAAUUAUUGGGCGUAAAGGGCUCGCGGGCGGUUUCUUAAGUCUGAUGUGAAAGCCCCCGGCUCAACCGGGGAGGGUCAUUGGAAACUGGGAAACUUGAGUGCAGAAGAGGAGAGUGGAAUUCCACGUGUAGCGGUGAAAUGCGUAGAGAUGUGGAGGAACACCAGUGGCGAAGGCGACUCUCUGGUCUGUAACUGACGCUGAGGAGCGAAAGCGUGGGGAGCGAACAGGAUUAGAUACCCCUGUAGUCCCUGUCUCUUAUAC